rnacentral:lncRNA from 1 species
UUUGUUGUGAGACAUUCUUUGACUGUCUCCCAGGCGCUGAGGACCAGCACUUGGUGUUGGCCAAGCUUGAGGGAGAAGAUUGGUCCAUGGUCAUCUGCCAUGGCUCCCAAGGUUAUGGCAACUGGGUCUUUGCUACGUAACAGAGGGAGGUGGCCUAUGAAGGGCCAUGCUCCAGAGGGUUGGGGGACUAAUUUGGUCGUCACAGUCGUCUUUGUGCUGGUGAUCUUCUUCUUAGUGUGAGCUGUGAUUCUCAAGGCAGCAUAUAGAAUAAGCAAAGAUAAAAUUGUUUCAAGAAUUUGGAUUGGGGAAAUUGUAAAAUCCAUGGUGUUGGGGAGAGAGAGAGAGAGAGAGAGAGAGUGUUACAGAUGGGAAUAUGAUUGCGUGUAGGAUAUAGUUCAUUUUGCAAGUGUAUUUAUAGACACAGAUACGUCUCUUUCAAAAACAAAUAAACAAACGCAUUGAGAUACACAAUGGAUGCUCACCACAUCUCAAAUAUAUAGGAUAAUUAGAUAUUUAAUUUUUUUUCUCUUUCCAACAUCUCUGGUUUUCAUUCACUAGAGUGUCGGUUGGAGUUCGAUACUUAAAAAAUAUAUAUAUAUAUAUAUAUAUACUCUACUUAUAAGACAGUAAUGUUUACAAUUUUGAUGCAACAGUGCCGCUGCUAUAAAUCAUAGGACAAACUUACUUGGGCCCAUACCUUCAUAUCUAUGUCUACCAAAUUAAAUGAUUACCCGCUUGCAAACUUUUUCAAACAAAUAAAGUAAAAAUUGAAGGUGAUUCUAAGAGCAUCUCCACCUCAAAAGGCUAAGGUAAGGAUAAGAGCAAAGCAAGGGCAAUAGUGGCAGCUUUGUAAUUUGUGGUUCCACCUCAAAGGGCUAAGGCUAAGGCAAUUACUAUUCAUUGUACUUUAUUUUCUAUUUUUUUAUACUUUCAACUAUUAAUUUUGAUAAUUUUUUGUAAUUAAAUUUCCGGAUAAGAUUUUUAGUUGCCACGUGUCCAUCAUUUUUCAGAAAAGAUUUUCGAAUGAGACUCUCAGUUGCCACGUGUCUUAUUCCAAACAAACUUUUUGGAUAUUCAUUAAAAAAAAAUUAUAAUCUCAGAUUUCAAAUAAGAUUUUCACCCUCUAAAAUUGUGCCACGUGUCCCAUGUCAAAUAAGAUUUUCAGAUAUUUUAAAAAAAAAUUAUAAUCUAAUAUUUUAGAUAAGAUUUUCACCCUCUAAAAUUGUGUCACGUGUCCCAUGUCAGAUAAGAUUUUCAGAUAUUUUAAAAAAAUUAUAAUCUCAUAUUUCAGAUCAGAUUUUCACCCUCUAAAAUUGUGCCACGUGUCAUCUCUAUCUUCUGAAUCCCUCUAUAAAACUACACCAUUAACUUAUACCUCUCACACCAUUUCUUAUCUAUUCAUUCAUUUCUCAGAUUUUACAAAACACAUUCUACUCUUAAUGUCAAACUUGAGGAGGUUGUUGGAGAGGCAACAGAAAGAAGAGGAACAAAUCUGGCGUAGAUGUGCUGAUAAAGAUGAGGAGGCCGAUAAAGAAGAGGAAGACAUGCUUGCAGCAGCGGUGUGUAUGCUUAAUCAAUCAAGGCAACACCGCCGUAGUCGUGCCCCAAAUGUGGACAGACGUAGGGAGUCUCGAGGUAAAAAUCUCUUGGAAGAUUACUUUAUCCCAAAUUCGUUAUAUCAUGUUCAUAAGUUUCGAGAGAGAUAUAAAAUGCAGCCACAUUUGUUCCGAAAAAUCAUGCAUGAUAUUUGUAAUUACGACACAUACUUCAUUCAAAAAUAUGAUACUGUUGGAGUUUUCGGUAUUCUCCCGGAGCAAAAACUUACAGCUACUUUGCAGAUGCUUGCUUAUGGGGCAUCUGCAAAGCAGGUGGAUGAGAUUGCAAGGAUGGGAAAAUCAACUAUCCUAGAGUGCUUGGUGAGAUUCUAUGAUGCAGUGGAAAAUUUGUACACAAGGGAGUACCUUCACAAACCCACGCCAAGGGACCUGCAAAGGCUUCUACAAAAAGCUGAGGCUCGAGGUUUCCCAAGAAUGAUUGGAAGCAUCGAUUGCAUGCACUGGCAGUGGAAGAAUUGUCCUACUACUUGGCAAGGAGACUAUGGGAAUCGGAAGGGCAAAAAAAGUAUAAUUUUGGAGGCCGUAGCUUUAUUCGACUGUUGGGUUUGGCAUGCCUUCUUCGGAAUUGCCGGAUCUUAGAAUGACCUCAAUAUCCUUGGUCAAUCCCCGGUACUCGACGAGGUAUUGUGAGGUCAUGACCCCCAGAUCACCUACCAAGUCAACAAUACCGUAUACUCUGGUACGUACUACUUUGCCGACGGAAUUUAUCCUAGGUGGACAACAUUUGUGAAAACAAUUCCAAAUCCCCAAUCCGAGAAAGAAAAAAGCUUUGCUGCCUUUCAAGAAGGUUACAUGAAAGACGUGGAAAGGUGUUUCGGUAUAUUGCAAGCUCGUUAGGCAAUUAUUAGGGGUGCUGCUUGGAUGCUAGAUGAGGAGGUGCUGCAGAGCAUUAUGCUGACUUGCAUCAUCCUCCACAACAUGAUUGUGGAGGAUGAGUUUGAUUAUGAUGCUUCAGAUGUGUUUGAACCCGAUCCCAUGAACACGGCGUUGACAAGAAUGUAUGAAAGGCCAAUGAGACCAAAUGGACAACCAAUGGAGCCCAAACCGUUACUUCGGGAUGGUCGAUACAACAACCCAAUGAUUGAUUGUUAUCAAGAAAUGCAAUCUUAUAUGUUCACGAGAGACAUCAACUUGACUUGAUCGAGCACUUGUGGGAGAUGAAAGGCAAUCACAGUGGAUGAAGUCAAGAUACAAGCUUUGUUUGGAAUUAUGCUUUAUUUUGUGUGUGGUGUUUUUUGGAAUUAUGCUUUUUUUAUUAUUAUUAUGCUUUUAAGUAUGGUUUGUUUUGUGUGUUGUUUGCAAUAAAUUAAGGUUUGUUUUUAAUUAAUCUUUGUUUUGAUGCUCAAAUGUUUUUAAUAAAUUGUCAUAUUAUUUAAUGCUUUCUUUAUUGAAUAAAAAGGAAACAAUACAACAAAUUAAUACAUAUGGCAAAGGUGUUUCAAUACAACUUAAUGGUUUUCAUCAUUUAACCAAUCCGUAUUGCUAGGUCCAUCGUCAUGGAAAAGUUUUCUUCUCAUCACAUCCCUUCGUCUUAGCUUCCAAUAGGCCUUUGUUUCAGAAGACAUAUGGCUUGUAUCCAUGGCCAUGAUUUUCAUCUCUCUAUCAUCCAUGUCUUUUUCUUUUGCCUGCUGCUGUUGAAUGCAAAUGCUUCCUGUCGUGCCUUGUUCGCUUCAUCUCUUUUUAAGUCUCUCUCAAUUCUUAGUGCAGUGUUCUUAGCUAUUUGCUCCAAUAAUUGUACACAUUCAUUGUUCGAAGUGCUCCCUCUCUUGGCCUUCGCCGCCUUUCUCCCAAUAGGUCUCGACGGAUGUGGAAGUGGUGACUCCGUUUCCAUUGGGAGUCCAAUGGCGAAUCGGUUGUUGACGAAUCGUGGAGCGGCGUCUCAUUUAAUACAACCGGUAGACCUGUGGGAAUAAUGUUGAAUCUCGAAAAAUCCUUCACAACUUCCCAACAUUGGAAAUGCAAGAAACUUUUUUUUCUUUGCCCCAUGGCACCGAACCAAAGUUGUGCUUGUAUGAUCUAUUAAAAAUAAAUAAUUGGAAGUGUAAGAAAAAAAUAUAUAUUAUGCAAGAAAAUAUAAACUAUUUUGAAAUGCAUGAAUAAAAUUGAUUAUGCAAGAAAAUAUAGACAAAUUGGAAAUGCAAAAAGAAAAAAAAAAGAUUAUGCAAGAAAAAGAAAUAUAAUAUGCAAUAAAAAAAAAGCUACAUGAAAUUGAUUUAAAUGGCAAUUAUAAAUAUUUUACCUUAUCGGAUAGAUUUUGACCGCUUCGAAUGUUCUCCCUUGCUUUUGUCAAGGCAUUUCUCCAUUUCCCUAACUCUUUAUUCAGAAUUUUCCAUCUACUAGACAAGGUCAUUUCGGUUCGAAUAGAACCCGAUCUUUGACAAAAUUCUCCCUGAAUUUUGCUCCACAUAUGAGGCAACUUCAUCUCAUUGCCCGAGACAGGGCAAUGACUAACGAUCACCCAAGACUGACACAACGCAAUAUGUUCAUGAGUUGUUCACGCACCUCCAGCUUCGACAGAAGAUGGCAUUUGUUUUUUGAUACAAAUGGAAAGUAGUAGAAAAAUGUGAGUGGAGAGUAAAAAAGAUUGGAAUGAGAAGAGUUUAGAUGAAGAAUUGGUGUGGAAAGUGAAUAAUGUGAGUGGAGAGUAAAAAAUAUUGGAAGGAGAAGAAAUUGUAUGAAGAUUUGGUGUGGAGAGUGAAUAAAAUUGUUAGGUAUUUUUAAGGAAAAAAAUCCAGAAUUUUUGGUUUUUUUUUAAAAAAAAAAUUCAGAAUUUUUUAGCCAAAAAAAGGAGGACCGUCGGAUUUCUAGAAAAAAACUGAUCGGAGAGUCUGGGUUGCGACACGUGGCGCAUGCCCGUUGGAUUCUGUUAGCUCUGACGUCACCUCCCUUGGGCUGAAGCCUAGGCGAAACCUGCCCUUGGGCUUGCCCGAGCCUCUUUUCUCGCGCUGGAGCAGUCUUGGGCUUGCUCGGGGGGCCUCCUGCCGGGUUUGCGUGCAGCACUGGAGCUGCUCUAAGUCAAGUCACCCAUUCAAACUCUACAUCGUCAAGUUUCCAUUACCUGGCCGCUAAUCAAUUAUCCAAUACAUCAAUUGGCUUCUUUGAUAUUUUUUUUGGUUGUGAAAGUUAGGAAGGGGGUGGAAAACUUAUACACAGGUAUUAUGGGGGCUUGAAUUUAGGAUCACUUGGAAGCAUAUCAAGAGCAUAGGCCAAUCCAGCUAACACCCCAUUGAUCUUCUUUAAGACUUUCAAGCAGUUAAAAUUGCACAUAACUUCCCGGAAAUAAAUAUGGUUUUAGAUUUUUUAAGCAAAUUUAGGGUGUAAUCUUCCUAAUAUAUGUCUUUGUCCACGAAUUUAAUGGGGCUCAGUUCUAUUAGAAAGAUCGUCCUAAAAAUGUAAUAAGCGUAGUAUUUUCCUUUAAGAUGUCAUCCUAAUAAUGAUUUCCAACUUUCCAUAAUGAAAUGAAUGCCACUCGUGAAUAUUCAAAUACUCGUUAUUGGCGAUUUUCACACCUCAUAACCCUAACAAAGCCUUCCAUUCCACUGACAGGUGACACAGGUCAUAUAUCAUUCAACAACCAUUACGUACCCAAUUAAUAUUUGACUUCUAAAUUCCUAAUACAUAUCUGGAUGGCUAUGAAUUAAUGGUCGUACCCUUUAGAAUUCAAAGGUUAAACUUGUGGUGUGGAAGAAAACACACAUCAAACACAGAACAAACGUUGUUCGAUCGACCAUGAUUCUUUGUCCUGGGGUGAAAGAUAUUCUACAAAGUUGCCUUCGAUGUAAAGCCUGGUUGAAAAGUAUCAGGCCCUAUGAACAUAUGGACGAGAUUUCGUUGCCAGAUGAUACUUUGAGCAGUUUGUAGAGCAGAGCUUAUUUAGGCCAUUGGGUGGGGACCUUGGUCGAAAACGUUUUCCACGUAUCGAUGGCUUUAGUUUAUGUUAUAACACAUGAAUAAUAAUGUUAAAUUUGUAUACCAAUCAAACUUUGCCGAGGGGUGUAUUUCAGUAAACAAAAGUGUAUUGAUUUGUAGACUAACGAUAUCAAAUUUGAACUCAUUUUUUCGGUAGUUUAAACUAUCAUUUGUAUUUUAUUGUAAGAAAUAAGUUUUAUUAAGAAUCACAAAAGAGAGAGCAAAACAAAAUUGAGGCCACCACAAGAAAACCAAAGGCCGAGCCAUGCUAAAAACCCACUACAUAGAUAAAGUUCACUACAAACAUAAAGCCCACCAAAAAAAAUUUCAUAACUUAUCAACUGUUUGUGCGGGUGUGGAUAAAAUAAGGGAUAGUCUGAAUUGGGUUCAUAUAUUUGUUUCUUGGAAAAAUUGUAGCAAUGGUCUCUUAAAUAAGACCCCAUUUUACUUUUCGUUUCUCAACCCUAAAAAUUAUUAUGAUUAUCCUUCAAUUAGAUCUAUUGUUGCAUCAGUCGUCCUUUUCAUCAGUUCUAAUUGUUUUUCCGUCAAAAAUAAAGGUAAAUUAGAAAAUUCAUAUCAACUUUUAUUAGAUAAAUAAACUCAUUUAUCUAUAUAUAUAAAGCAAAAUGCAGAGAGUGGUAAAAUAUUCAAAAUAUCAGAAAAUACCAUUGGUUAAUGCAAAUAUUAAGAAUUGAAAUUAUUAAUUAAAUGAGGAUAAUAUGGUAAAUUUCCAUCUUUUCAUAUUAAAAAAAUUAAAAGAAAAAGAAAAAUCACAUAAUAGAUCUUAUUUUUAUGGAAUACAUCUACCCAUUAUCUCUUUUAAUUCUAAAAUACAUUUAAACUUUUAAAAAAAAAAAAAAAAAAAAAAAAAGCCUUUCGUAGGUGCAGAAGAGCGUGCGAAAAGACUAGUAAACUUAAAUUCCGAGUGUAGGAUACGUACAAGAAGCCAUUUACAAGAUUAACGUUGUCCUAUCUUUAGCUCCUUACUUAAAAUUCAUAAUGUUACAUAUUGGGCACAAGUGAAUUUAUUAUAUAAAAGUGAACUAUAAUAUUUCCUGCCAACGUUUGAAGCUGCCAACUUCUUCAAAGACAUUAUUUAUAGAGGUGAAGAGGAAGGCGUGGGGAUAGCAAAGCCUCCAGCGGAUUUGCUUUGGGCAGGGCAAGCCCCAGCCCUUCACGCAUGUCCACUGCCUCCUCACCAACCCUACUCAUAUCAAAACCCUGAACCAAACGAGCCAGAAUUAAUUGGACCACUUGCAGCCCCAAAACCAUGCCAGGGCACGACCUCCUGCCUGAGCUGAACGGAAUAUACUCAAAAUUAUUUUGACCUUUGAAUUCCACGUCAGCAUGGGUGGUCAUGAACCUCUCGGGUUGGAAUUCACUUGGGUUGGCCCACAUGCGUGGGUCCCGCUGUAGUUUCCAAAUGUUGACUAGUACACGAGUGCCCUUGGACACGUGGUAGCCUGCCAGGUGGCAAUCCUCCGUGGCUUCACGCAGGCCUGUGAGUGGGCCAGGUGGGUAUACGCGUAGGGUUUCUUUGAGAAUGGCUUGGAGGUAUUUGAGGUUAGGGAGGUCUGAUUCUUGUACCCAUCUGUCUCUUCCUACGUGUAUGUCCAGUUCUUGUUGGGCAGCUUUUAGGGUUUUUGGGUUGUUCAGUAGUAGGGAGAGUGCCCAUGUCAGAGUGACGGAUGUGCUUUCUGUGCCAGUUAGGAUUAGAACCUGCCAAAAGCAAUUAAGGAAAACAAUUAAUAUUUGUAUAAUAAUUAAUAUUGUUGCUGAAUAGCUUUAUAUUGUUACACUAAAUGAAACUUACCAGUGCUGUUGAUUUGAUGACAUUAUCAAGGCUAUGGCCAGAAAUUACAUCCUCCUCCUCUUGCAAGCUGGAGAUCAUCACAUCCAUCAAGUCACUUUCAACCCUCUCUAUCUUGCCUUGAGCACUUGAUCUCUGGCGAUGUUCUUCAAGCCAUUUCCCAAGCACACAGUCAAGUUCCUUAAAACACCUUUUCAUGGAACCCACAUGCCCAAACAAGCUGUCCAGCCACUCAAGCCACGGCAUAGCAUCUGACCAAACAAAAACGCCAAACAGAUACAAAGCCUCCUUCACAGCCUUUUCAAAACGCCAAGCCUCACUGUUUUUCUCAUUAUAUUGCUCAGCUGUAAAUCUCUUCCCAGCAAUCAGCCUCACAUUUAUGUUGAACGUUAAGAACUCAAUUAACUCACUCAAAUGCACUGGCGUGGAGCCCGUUCCAUUCUUCGUGCAAAGUGAGAGCAGAUUUUUGAUGAACAAGUCAACCUCUGAGGUCCUAACGUGGCUCAACGUUUCGACUCUUUUGGUCGAGAGGAGCUCCAGCGUGGCCAGCUUGCGGAUGUGGCGCCAGUAGGGCCCGUAGGGGGCUAGGGAAAAAAGUGCAUUGUCGUAGCCCAAGUACUUGCCUCCUGCAAUGCUUGGUCGUGUGGCAAAAACUCUAUCGUUUGUUGUGAGACAUUCUUUGACUGUGUCCCAGGCGCUGAGGACCAGCACUUGGUGUUGGCCAAGCUUGAGGGAGAAGAUUGGUCCAUGGUCAUCGGCCAUGGCUCCCAGGGUUAGGGCAACUGGGUCUUUGCCACGUAGUAGAGGGAGGUGGCCUAUGAAGGGCCAUGCUCCUGAGGGUUGGGGGACUAAUUUGGUCGUCACAGUCGUCUUUGUGCUGGUGAUUUUCUUCUUAGUGUGAGCUGUGAUUCUCAAGGCAACAUAGAGAAAAAGCAAAGAUAAAAUGGUUCCA